rnacentral:rRNA from 1 species
GAUGAACGCUGGCGGCGUGCCUAAUACAUGCAAGUCGAGCGAACGGACGAGAAGCUUGCUUCUCUGAUGUUAGCGGCGGACGGGUGAGUAACACGUGGAUAACCUACCUAUAAGACUGGGAUAACUUCGGGAAACCGGAGCUAAUACCGGAUGAUAUUUUGAACCGCAUGGUUCAAAAGUGAAAGACGGUCUUGCUGUCACUUAUAGAUGGAUCCGCGCUGCAUUAGCUAGUUGGUAAGGUAACGGCUUACCAAGGCAACGAUGCAUAGCCGACCUGAGAGGGGGAUCGGCCACACUGGAACUGAGACACGGUCCAGACUCCUACGAGAGGCAGCAGUAGGGAAUCUUCCGCAAUGGGCGAAAGCCUGACGGAGCAACGCCGCGUGAGUGAUGAAGGUCUUCGGAUCGUAAAACUCUGUUAUUAGGGAAGAACAUAUGUGUAAGUAACUGUGCACAUCUUGACGGUACCUAAUCAGAAAGCCACGGCUAACUACGUG